GACCCGUCCCGGUGGGAGGGACCUGGGCUGGGGGGGACGGCAGGGGAACAAGGGGGUGGGACUGGGGAAGCUUCUGGGAACAUUUGCUCUAGGGAUUCAGCUAAACUAAGAAAAAUUGGUCCAAGGCUCGGCACAAAAGGAUCUUUUCAUUCCAGUCCUUUCGCCCACGCAGGGAACGAUGCCUCUGGAGGUGGUGGUGGAGCUGCAGAUCCGGGCGAUUUCUUGCCCAGGAGUGUUCCUGCCUGGCAAACAAGAUGUGUACCUCGGGGUCUACCUCAUGAAUCAGUACCUGGAGACAAACAGCUUUCCCUCUGCGUUCCCCAUUAUGAUUCAGGAGAGCAUGAGAUUUGAAAAGGUAUUUGAAAGUGCAGUAGAUCCUGGAGCUGUAGUAGACCUUUUGGAAAGCUUCCUAACCAGGUUUGAAUUAAUACAGCUAGUUCCUCCAGUGUGGGAUGAGUUGGCCUACUAUGAAGAAAACACAAGAGAUUUUCUUUUUCCAGAGCCCAAGCUGACACCUUCACACCCUAGGAGGUGUAGGGAGGUGCUCAUGAAGACGGCUCUGGGUUUUCCAGGCAUUGCUCCCAAAAUAGAGUUUUCUACAAGGACAGCCAUCAGAGAAUGUGUGUUUCUGCAUAGAAACAGAUUUCUUGUUGAUUCCAAAUCUUGGCUAUUGUGAAUAGUGCUGCAGUAAACAUGGGGCCACCUUUCUUUUGCUGAGGCUGAUGCUCAGAUUGUAUUCGUGGUCCAUCUUUGGAAGAAAGACAUAAGUCACAAAGGCCUUUAUCUACAUCACAUGAACCAAUAUUUCCCU
rnacentral:sRNA from 1 species